AGAGUUUGAUCCUGGCUCAGGAUGAACGCUGGCGGCGUGCAUAACACAUGCAAGUCGAACGGGAUUACAGGAAGGUUUACCGGAAUGUAAUCUAGUGGCGGACGGGUGAGUAACGCGUGAGGAUCUAUCCUUAUCAGGGGGACAACAGUUGGAAACGGCUGCUAAUACCCCAUAGGCCGAGAGGUGAAAGGCGUAAGCCGGAGAGGGAGGAACUCGCGUCCUAUCAGCUAGUAGGCGAGGUAAGAGCUCACCUAGGCGAUGACGGGUAGCCGGCCUGAGAGGGCGCACGGCCACACUGGAACUGAGAUACGGUCCAGACUCCUACGGGAGGCAGCAGUGGGGAAUAUUGGGCAAUGGGGGGAACCCUGACCCAGCGACGCCGCGUGGGUGAAGAAAUCCUUCGGGAUGUAAAGCCCUGUUGUAUGGGAAGAGCAGAAGACGGUACCAUACGAGGAAGCCCCGGCAAACUACGUGCCAGCAGCCGCGGUAAUA
rnacentral:rRNA from 1 species